rnacentral:rRNA from 1 species
CCUACGGGUGGCUGCAGUGAGGAAUAUUGGUCAAUAGACGAGAGCCUGAACCAGCCAAGUAGCGUGAAGGAUGACUGCCCUAGGGGUUGUAAACUUCUUUUAUAUGGGAAUAAAAUGUGCCACGUGUGGGGUUUUGUAUGUACCAUAUGAAUAAGGAUCGGCUAACUCCGUGCCAGCAGCCGCGGUAAUACGGAGGAUCCGAGCGUUAUCCGGAUUUAUUGUGUUUAAAGGGAGCGUAGGUGGGUUGUUAAGUCAGUUGUGAAAGUUUGCGGCUCAACCGUAAAAUUGCAGUUGAAACUGGCAGUCUUGAGUACAGUCGAGGGAGGCGGAAUUCGUGGUGUAGCGGUGAAAUGCUUAGAUAUCACGAAGAACUCCGAUUGCGAAGGCAGUGCACUGGACUGCAACUGACACUGAGGCUCGAAAGUGUGGGUAUCAAACAGGAUUAGAUACCCUAGUAGUC